CGUAGAGCAGUGCGGCUCUUGUGCUGUCCGGUGCGCUCGCGCCGGCUUUUGAAAAUCCAAGUGAGGGAGUGUGAUUUUCGUGCCGGACCAUACCCACAUCCACAGCAGGUCUCCAAAGUGAACAGCCUCUAGUCGAUGGACCAAUGUAGGACCAAUUAAAAACGGCAUGGCCAUUCUUAGUUGGAGGAGCAAUUUGUCUGGUUAAUUCCGAUAACGAAUGAAACUCUAGCCUAUUAAAUAGGUGCAUGGUUCUCUGCACCUUGCGCCCUUCUUAGAGGGACAAGCGGCUCCUAGCAGCACGAAACGGAGCAAUAACAGGUUUGCAAUGCCCUUAGAUGUCCGGGGUUCUCGUUCUCGGUUGUUAGCAAAGAAACAUCAGUGUGUAGGCCACCUCGCCCGCGAGUCCUUUGGCUUCGCUCCUUGAGGCACG
rnacentral:rRNA from 1 species